CCAGACUCCUACGGGAGGCAGCAGUGGGGAAUAUUGCACAAUGGGGGAAACCCUGAUGCAGCGACGCCGCGUGAGUGAAGAAGUAUUUCGGUAUGUAAAGCUCUAUCAGCAGGGAAGAAAAUGACGGUACCUGACUAAGAAGCCCCGGCUAACUACGUGCCAGCAGCCGCGGUAAUACGUAGGGGGCAAGCGUUAUCCGGAUUUACUGGGUGUAAAGGGAGCGUAGACGGCAUGGCAAGUCAGAUGUGAAAGCCCGGGGCUCAACCCCGGGACUGCAUUUGAAACUGUCAGGCUGGAGUGCAGGAGAGGUAAGUGGAAUCCCUAGUGUAGCGGUGAAAUGCGUAGAUAUUAGGAGGAACACCAGUGGCGAAGGCGGCUUGCUGGACGAUGACUGACGUUGAGGCUCGAAAGCGUGGGGAGCAAACAGGAUUAGAUACCCUAGUA
rnacentral:rRNA from 1 species